CUCAGGACGAACGCUGGCGGCGUGCUAACACAUGCAAGUCGAGCGAGAGGAGUUCUUCGGAACAAAUCUAGCGGCGGACGGGUGAGUAACACGUGGGCAACCUGCCUUUAUAGAGGGGAAUAGCCUUUCCGAAAGGAAGAUUAAUACCGCAUAACGUUGCAGUUUCGCAUGAAACAGCAAUUAAAGGAGCAAUCCGCUAUAAGAUGGGCCCGCGGCGCAUUAGCUAGUUGGUGAGGUAACGGCUCACCAAGGCGACGAUGCGUAGCCGACCUGAGAGGGUGAUCGGCCACAUUGGGACUGAGACACGGCCCAGACUCCUACGGGAGGCAGCAGUGGGGAAUAUUGCACAAUGGGGGAAACCCUGAUGCAGCAACGCCGCGUGAGUGAUGAAGGUUUUCGGAUCGUAAAACUCUGUCUUUGGGGACGAUAAUGACGGUACCCAAGGAGGAAGCCACGGCUAACUACGUGCCAGCAGCCGCGGUAAUACGUAGGUGGCAAGCGUUGUCCGGAUUUACUGGGCGUAAAGGGAGCGUAGGUGGACUUUUAAGUGAGAUGUGAAAUACUCGGGCUCAACCCGAGAACUGCAUUUCAAACUGGAAGUCUAGAGUGCAGGAGAGGGAAGUGGAAUUCCUAGUGUAGCGGUGAAAUGCGUAGAUAUUAGGAAGAACACCAGUGGCGAAGGCGACUUUCUGCACUGUAACUGACACUGAGGCUCGAAAGCGUGGGGAGCAAACAGGAUU
rnacentral:rRNA from 1 species